CGAAGCGGAGCGCGAGAACUUAACCACUUGGCCACAGGACUGGCCCCGGGAAUUGUAGAUUUUUAAAUGUAUGUUGAGUAACUUUUUGUUUUGUGUGGAUAUUUUGAAUAGUAUGUUUUCAGAGUCUGGUUCUGCUAAAUUUCUCUGUAAAUUUCUGUUUCAAAACAGGGCCGUGAUGUUGUCAGUUCAGACUGAAGUUCUGUCUUGCUCUCUGUGGGUGGUGGUUCCAGGCCAGCUCGGCAUUCAGAGCCUUUGCAGGAUAGUCUGGAUUUGCAUGGAGCACACACCUUCAGGGUCAGGACAGGGCUGGAGGCCUGGGUCACAGUUUAGUUCUCAGUGUUCUGUGCUUCUUUGGGUCCAUUCUGUGUGUGCGGCUUGGGGGAGCCCAGGACUUGUGUUGGCUGUACACGGGGUUAGGGGAAUUCCCCUUCUCCGGCACUCCUCUUUGCGGUUUCCCCCACCCACUCCAGCCCCAGGGGCCCCCAUGUCCCUGGGCCAGAGCCUGGAGUCCUUUCAGCACCAGCCCCCCUGUGCUGUGCAGCUCAUCACAGCUGGGCGCCCUGGGAGCGGAGCCAGGCACAGGAAGAGGACAGACAGCAGGCUUCCCCUGCCAGCUUUGGGCAGCAGCGGCCUUUCCUACCCGUUCCUUUGGCCAGAGGAGUGAUUCGUGACGUGGACGUUCAGUGUGAAGAUGUCCCGGUGUCGGCAUGCCAGUCUAGACCUGCGCCAUGGGAUGUUUCAUAAUGUGAGAGGUUCUCAGACGACAGGAGCCACUGCUUCAAAUCCCGCCCUCACGCCAAGGACCUAACACCAUGCACUUCCUCCUGUCCAGUCAGGGUCCGUGUCCAGCUCUGCAGCCGCACAAGCCCCAGGCCUGAGGCCCUGGCGCCUGGACCGUGUUGGAGCCGAGAGCAGGUGUUCAGGACAGCUGGGUGGGGGCUGGGAGCAGAUCCCAGCGAUGGACUGCCUUCCCCAUUCUUCAGUAAGGGCGUUGUGUUGUCUGUGACUGCAGGUGUCUGAAAAGUGGGCCCAGGGUGUGCAUGGAGUUCUCUCCUGCUCUUCCGGGAAGCGGGUCACCUCCUUCACAGCCCACUGGUCAGAAGUGGUCACACACAGGCCCCAGACGAGGAAGGGUGGCUUCCCAGGCCUGGAAUGAUUGGGAAAUGGUGGUGUCAGAUCGGGGUUCGCCUCUGAAACCCUCCCUCGCUGGUGCAUCCCCCUGCUCUUGAGAACCGCGGGCUCACCUGAGAACAGUGGUGUCUUCUGGACAGGAACAUACCAGGAUUUUGCUCAGCUGUAUUUAAUUUUUUAUCUUCAUUAUUUCCUUUUAGAUUUUGCCAGUGCACAUAAUCAGUAUGACUGUUCAGACCCCCUCUGUGUCCUCUUCCCCUGCCAGGAGGUUGGGUGUGUGUCGGGUGGGCUGGCCCCUCGAAGGGCAUCUCUGCUCCAGCAGGGUGGAGGGGCGGGGGCCCCUGUGACUGGGACCAGAGCAUCCUGCUUCCCCAGUGCCCUCCCUGGGAGCAGGGCGGGACCUGGCUGUGCUCGAGGGGUCCUGCUGGCACCUCUGGAGCAGGCUCCUUCUGAGUCUGGGGGCUGUCAGGAAAUAAAAAAUGACUUCCUCCCCUGUUUUCAAACACAGCAGGCACGGUUGUUCACAGAAUGUCUGGCAAUUCCCGCGUCUCGGUCUGCUGGGCUGCCUCUGCUCUGUUGUUGCUGUGGCUCCUGUUUGCGGGGCUGCCCCCUGUGCUCGCCUCUGGAGGAGCUUCCCUUCGGGGGGGCCUCUGCCUGUGCUUCUGCCAGGGAAGGGACUCCACCAUCACAGUCCUCUGCAGACUGCCUGCACUGCCCAAGUUUUGGGUUGGUUUGGGCUGGUUUGGCUCUGAUCACCCAGAUGGCGGCAUGAUGCUGCUCACCUGCUGUGCUCCCUGCUCCCCCAGGAUCGGUCCCCAGCCCUGCUCAGGGCGGGGACUCCCAGACUCCCCGUGGUCCGGGACUGUGGACCACUGGCUGUGGACACCCAGAGGGUGAGCCCUUUGGAGGUCCCAGCUUCAGGGGGGUAAGAGCUAUGAGACACCCCAUCUUGGGAGCCCUGGGACCUGCCUUCUGUCCCGUGAGCUCGGCCAGGCAGGGAGAACUGGAGCCCAAGUUCACACGUCCUGGUUCAGACAUCCUUGGGAGCAGGCAGGGUUUUGCCUGUCUGGGUCCUCGCAUCCCCGUCCGUCAGGCCUGUGGGCUCCCACUACUGUCGGCCUUGGCUGUGUUGAGGAAGGUGCUUUUCCCAUUUCGCCCAAGACUGUCCUCAUUUCAGUGUGCAGGGAGUUCAGGCUCUGUCCCAGUUCCCAGGCAGCCUGGAUCCUGGUCCCCCAAGGUCUCCCGCUGACACUGCAGUCUGCCUGGUGGCAGCGCCGCCUCUAGCUGCCUCUCGCCGCGGGCUUCACUGCGGAUCUGCCAUGGGCCCUCUUGCACUCAGCCUUGCCCCCAGUCUUCUGGUGGGUUUCUCGUGAACAUCUCUGCACACGCUCUCCCGCCCCACACCUGAGCAGCAGAGCAAAUGCCCCGACCCUGUGGCUGAAUCUCUAGCUGCCUCACGUGGUCAGCAGCCCCAGCAGCCCCGCCAGAGCCCGGGAUCCGAGUCUUCUCCGUCAGGCCCCUCCCGGACGUGGCCCUGGGACGCUCUGAGCACCCACUCACGCCCUCAUUUGCUCUCUUGUCUGUCACCUGGACCAUGGCCGUGGCCUCUGAUUAAAAAAAAAAAAAAAAUCGAAAAAAGCUUUUUAAUU